GACGAACGCUGGCGGCGUGCUUAACACAUGCAAGUCGAACGGAAAGGCCCUGCUUUUGUGGGGUGCUCGAGUGGCGAACGGGUGAGUAACACGUGAGUAACCUGCCCUUGACUUUGGGAUAACUUCAGGAAACUGGGGCUAAUACCGGAUAGGAGCUCCUGCUGCAUGGUGGGGGUUGGAAAGUUUCGGCGGUUGGGGAUGGACUCGCGGCUUAUCAGCUUGUUGGUGGGGUAGUGGCUGACCAAGGCUUUGACGGGUAGCCGGCCUGGGAGGGUGACCGGCCACAUUGGGACUGCGGUACGGCCCAGACUCCUACGGUAGGCAGCAGUGGGGAAUCUUGCACAAUGGGCGGAAGCCUGAUGCAGCAACGCCGCGUUCGGGAUGACGGCCUUCGGGUUGUAAACCGCUUUCGCCUGUGACGAAGCGUGAGUGACGGUAAUGGGUAAAGAAGCACCGGCUAACUACGUG
rnacentral:rRNA from 1 species